UAUGGUUGAUAAGUAAACAUUAGCAGGUCUUUGUCGUAGUAUGAUGUGGUCUUUGUAGUUGGUGUGACAAUUCCAAAGUCAUCAUCAUGGUCAUUAUUUGAGUUCACGUGAUGAGACAAUGAUUUAGUGCGUUGGGAUCGUGGAAACCCUUUUCAAUGCUGAUCAUUAUAAUGGCUUUGUGUGUUAUCUAUCAAACAAUUAAAUGUCAUAUCUCUAGUGAUUAGUAAUAUAGACAAUAAAAUAAUUGUUGCUGGAUGGAGAUGCGUGAUUUUUAAAUCGUGUCAUAAAAUGUGAACAUCUUGUAAGUCAAACAACCUUUAACCUUAGCUUAAGAUGUAUAAACAAAUCUGUGUUGUUCUCUUGCUAUGUUACUUAUUCAGUGGAUAUUUCUUGUACAGCACCGACAUAAUUAAAAUAUCCUUGGAUGACAGCGAUGAGUCCUUCACGUAUCUGAGGCACAUUGUCGGAAUUAUUGUAAAUUCUACACAACUUAACAGAUCUGAUUCGAAGUAUUAUGGUUCAAUAGUAUUGGAGGAAGCUGAGUACAAAUUUCUGUUGGAAUAUUCCAAAGGAAGUGGGUUAAGUGAAGAGGAGUUGAUAAAAUUGAACUCGAUAAUAAAGAAGACGUUCCGGAAAAGACCCUUCGACUACUACUACUCGGAUGUAGUUUUACCUUUGAUCGAUGAAGUGUCUUUCCUAUUCUCAAGUUAUUAUUAUCUAAUUUUAUUGGUCGUCUGCAGUGCCUUGUUCAGUUUUGUGUAUUGGAACAACAAAGAAAUCUUUGCGGGAAUCUUAGUGAAUGUGUUACUGUGGAGUUUAUAUAACGUAUUUGCAUUUGUUAUGUAUAUAUGGUAUGCAAUUUGUUUGAUGUGCAAUUAUGCGAUCACAGGAAGAAUUGAAUAAAGUUUUACAAAGUUCUUAAGAGCGUUCUUAAUCUCUUCCAGUGAUUACUUUGUUGUUAAUUUCAAAUAUAACAAAAACAGUUCGUUAGAAUAUACUUGACGAAAUUUACCUUCAUGAAAUCUAACCUUUCAACUUUGUUAAGUGAUAAGACCGUUGUUUAUAUUGAUACUAUUAUCGAUUCAAGCAAAUUCGCUUUCAUAAUUUAUGUUCUUCAGAAAGUGAAUCGACGUCAAUAGAGAACAAAUACCAAAAAUUAGUUUUUGAUACCCAUUUGCGUAGCUACAAAAAAUAUAAUAAUUAUAAUUGGUGAAACAGUAAAGAAGAUUUUAAAAUUCGACUGACGUGAUGUCUUCAAAUGAAGAAAUUUCAAUAUUAUUUACAAGUUAUUUGUUAAUUAUCUUAAUAGCAAGUGGUGUGUUUUUGAGUUUAUUGUACCAGAGGGACAGAGAAAUAGUUGUAGGAAUCGUUGUAAAUCUAUUAUUGUGGAUUGUUUAUAACGUAUUUGCAUUUGUGAUGUGUAUUUGGUGUAUAAUUUGUAUGAUUUAUAAUUACGUUUUUGUUAAACAAAGUCAAUAAAAUAUUGGAAUUAGGAUAUGAUA